AUAUCAAUAAGCGGAGGAAAAUAAACCAACAGGGAUUGCCUUAGUAGCGGCGAGUGAAGCGGCAAAAGCUCAAAUUUGAAAUCUGGCACUUUCAGUGUCCGAGUUGUAAUUUGAAGAAGGUAUCUUUGGGUCUGGCUCUUGUCUAUGUUUCUUGGAACAGAACGUCACAGAGGGUGAGAAUCCCGUGCGAUGAGAUGUCCCAGACCUAUGUAAAGUUCCUUCGAAGAGUCGAGUUGUUUGGGAAUGCAGCUCUAAGUGGGUGGUAAAUUCCAUCUAAAGCUAAAUAUUGGCGAGAGACCGAUAGCGAACAAGUACAGUGAUGGAAAGAUGAAAAGAACUUUGAAAAGAGAGUGAAAAAGUACGUGAAAUUGUUGAAAGGGAAGGGCUUGAGAUCAGACUUGGUAUUUUGUAUGUUACUCUCUCGGGGGUGGCCUCUACAGUUUACCGGGCCAGCAUCAGUUUGAGCGGUAGGAUAAGUGCAAAGAAAUGUGGCACUGCUUCGGUAGUGUGUUAUAGUCUUUGUCGAUACUGCCAGCUUAGACUGAGGACUGCGGCUUCGGCCUAGGAUGUUGGCAUAAUGAUCUUAAGUCGCCCGUCUUGAAACACGGAC
rnacentral:rRNA from 1 species